UGAAUACGGCAAUGGGAUGGCGCUGUUUUUGCCACCAGCCUAUUUAACACCAGGGCUAAUUAGUGCAGGUGUGGCGCACAGCGAGGCAGAUAACUUUUGACCGUGAGGCACGGCGGAUUGGGAACCGAAUUGUUUGUUAUUUUUGUUAUAAAUAAAUGGAUUGACAUAUCCGAUGUUAAGUUCAGAAGUUAUGAAAGUAAGUUAUUUUUAUUUUAAGCCACAAACAACACGCCGGAAAACACGAGUACAAAACAACUUAAAUGUGCGCCAGCAAAGUUAUUGUUGUUUCUCUCCUGAUCCGUAGCUCGGCUUGUGUAGCUGCAUCUAGAACGCGAACUAAAAACAACACAUUUAUUUUGAAGGCGGCGACCGGAAGUCCCCCAAUUGAAUUUCAAGAAGUGAACUUUUUCCUUUGCGUGAAAUUCCUCUAGUUUCUUUUGUUUGCAUGUCAGCAGCAACGAUAGCGAGUGGAUAUCUGGCAUUUGUAAUGUCCCCGACUGGAAGCAGCUAACAUUGCGACACACAGUCCUCCUCCCCGGGCCGGGAGAGCGAGGGGGAGAGAGGGGGAGACUCCCGGUGCAAAGGGAGGGAAGGGGGACCGUUGAGGAAGGAGUGGCGGUUAUGUGGCAAAACUCUCAACCUCUCUGAAGAGUUGUGUCCUCGCUUGUGUAUUUGUGGAGAAAGGGCAAGGUGAAUCCCAUCCAGCACUUCGUCCCAUAGGAGGAUCCGUGUAACGCGCCCGUGCAGGGAUGGAGGGAGAGAAGGAGCGACAGAGGCAGCAGCGGGAAGAGAAGGAGAGCAACGAGGCGGAGGACAACAGGACCAGCGACGAGGACGCCGACAAUGAUGAAGUGGAGGAGGAGGAAGAUUCAGAAUGCGCAGCCCUGGUCUGGCAAGAGGGCUAUGGCGAAGACAACCUGGGCCUUCCCAUCAUGCACUGGGAGGCGCUAAGCCUGCGCAUUGCCGAGCUGGAGAAGCAGGAGGAGGAAAACAAGGAGAAGAAGGCAAAGAGGGGAGUUUCUCUUGAGAGAGGAAGAGCACCGGUCAGCUGGACGGAGGAGAGAGGAAGAAGAAGGGAGAGCUGGGAAGACGGAGAUGAUGCCUGCAACAGCCACGUGCUGGCGCUCACCUCCCGCCUGCAGACGCAGAUGAACCUGCAGCUCUGCUUCAUCAACAACAGUGAAAGUGAGGAGGAGGAAGAGGACGAGAAG
ensembl:lncRNA